rnacentral:tRNA from 1 species
GAAGAAUUAGUUAAAGAAAUAACAUUAGAUUGUCAAACUGAAGUCAUUAUAAAUAAUAUUCUUCU